rnacentral:rRNA from 1 species
AGCGAACGCUGGCGGCAGGCCUAACACAUGCAAGUCGAACGGAUCCUUCGGGAUUAGUGGCUGACGGGUGAGUAACACGUGGGAACGUGCCCUUUGGUUCGGAACAACUCAGGGAAACUUGAGCUAAUACCGGAUGUGCCCUUCGGGGGAAAGAUUUAUCGGCAUUGGAGCGGCCCGCGUCGGAGUAGCUAGUUGGUGAGGUAAAGGCUCACCAAGGCGACGAUCAGUAGCUGGUCUGAGAGGAUGAUCAGCCACAUUGGGACUGAGACACGGCCCAAACUCCUACGGGAGGCAGCAGUGGGGAAUCUUGCGCAAUGGGCGAAAGCCUGACGCAGCCAUGCCGCGUGAAUGAUGAAGGUCUUAGGAUUGUAAAAUUCUUUCACCGGGGACGAUAAUGACGGUACCCGGAGAAGAAGCCCCGGCUAACUUCGUGCCAGCCGCCGCCGUAACAC